AUUGAACGCUGGCGACAUGCCUUACACAUGCAAGUCGAACGGCAGCACGGGUGCUUGCACCUGGUGGCGAGUGGCGAACGGGUGAGUAAUACAUCGGAACAUGUCCUGUAGUGGGGGAUAGCCCGGCGAAAGCCGGAUUAAUACCGCAUACGAUCUACGGAUGAAAGCGGGGGACCUUCGGGCCUCGCGCUAUAGGGUUGGCCGAUGGCUGAUUAGCUAGUUGGUGGGGUAAAGGCCUACCAAGGCGACGAUCAGUAGCUGGUCUGAGAGGACGACCAGUCACACUGGGACUGAGACACGGCCCAGACUCCUACGGGAGGCAGCAGUGGGGAAUUUUGGACAAUGGGCGAAAGCCUGAUCCAGCAAUGCCGCGUGUGUGAAGAAGGCCUUCGGGUUGUAAAGCACUUUUGUCCGGAAAGAAAUCCUUGGCCCUAAUACGGUGGGGGGAUGACGGUACCGGAAGAAUAAGCACCGGCUAACUACGUG
rnacentral:rRNA from 1 species